AUCGGUAAAUAUUUUUGUGUAUUAAAAUAAAAUAAUAAAUAAUGAAAUAAGAUGUUGGUUUUUUACAAAGUAUAUUUGCUAUUUAUUGCCAGUACCGUAUUCAUUAGCCAAUUUCAGGCCAUAAAAUGUAACAAGACAGUGCCGGCGAUAUGCAAUGAUGUAAGCUUUAAAUAAAUAUCAACAUUUUUAAAUAAUAUAGUAAAGGAUUUUCCAAUAUGAGGUGUUACUUUGAAUGGCCUGUAAUUCCGGAAAUAAGUUGUGACCCAACCAAUCUGCCAGUGCCACUGGAAUGUGCAGUAUAAGAUUCGU